rnacentral:rRNA from 1 species
AUUGAACGCUGGCGGAAUGCUUUACACAUGCAAGUCGAGCGGCAGCACGGGGGCAACCCUGGUGGCGAGCGGCGAACGGGUGAGUAAUACAUCGGAACAUGCCCAGUCGUGGGGGAUAACACUUCGAAAGAAGUGCUAAUACCGCAUACGUCCUGAGGGAGAAAGCGGGGGAUCUUCGGACCUCGCGCGAUUGGAGUGGCCGAUGUCAGAUUAGCUAGUUGGUGGGGUAAAGGCCUACCAAGGCAACGAUCUGUAGCUGGUCUGAGAGGAUGAUAAGCCACACUGGGAAUGAGACACGGCCCAGACUCCUCCGGGAGGCAGCAGUGGGGAAUUUUGGACAAUGGGGGCAACCCUGAUCCAGCCAUUCCGCGUGAGUGAAGAAGGCCUUCGGGUUGUAGAGCUCUUUCGGCAGGAACGAAACGGCGAGCUCUAACAUAGCUUGCUAAUGACGGUACCUGAAGAAGAAGCACCGGCUAACUACGUGCCAGCCGCCGCCGUAAUAC